rnacentral:rRNA from 1 species
GAUGAACGCUGGCGGCGUGCCUAAUACUUGCAAUUCGAGCGAACAGACGUGGGACUUUCUCCUCUGACGUUAGCGGCGGACGGGUGAUUAACACUUGGAUAACCUCCCUUUUUUACUGGGAUAAAUCCGGGAAACCGUUACUCUUAUCGCAUAUUCUAUCUAACCGCAUGGUUCAAUAGUGUUAGGCGGUUUUGCUGUUACUUAUACAUGUAUCCGCGCCGCAUUAGCUAGUUGGUAAGGUAAAGGCUUACCAAGGCAACGAUGCGUAGCCGACCUGAGAGGGUGAUCGGCCACACUGGAACUGAGACACGGUCCAGACUCCUACGGGAGGCAGCAGUAGGGAAUAUUCGGCAAUGGGCGAAAGCCUGACGGAGCAACGCCGCGUGAGUGAUGAAGGUCUUCGGAUCGUAAAGCUCUGUUAUUAGGGAAGAAAAGAAGUAGAAGUAAAUAUGGACGUCUUGACGGUACCUAAAGAGAAAGCAACGGCUAACUACGUG